ACCUCAUGUCAGGUAAGAGGACCCCCUGAAUUUAAGCAUAUAAGUAAGGGGAGGAAAAGAAACUAACGAGGAUUCCCUCAGUAACGGCGAGUGAAGCGGGAAGAGCCCAAGAUGCGAUGCCAUGUGCUGGUUGGUGCAUGGCUGUGAAGCGUUUGGAGGGCAGUGCCAGUUGUCAGGCCCGGUUCGAGUCCCUUGGAAGAGGGCAUCCAGAGAGGGUGAGAGUCCCAUGUAUGGCUGGGUGGUUUGGUUGGCAGCGCACGGCGUGUCUUCUUGGAGUCGAGUUGCUUGGGACUGCAGCUCCAAGUUGGUGGUAAACUCCAUCAAAGGCUAAAUAGUGGCGAGAGACCGAUAGCGAACAAGUAGCGUGAGCGAAAGAUGAAAAGAACUUUGAAAAGAGAGUUAAAGAGUGCCUGAAAUCGUUGAAAGGGAAGGGUUUGCGACGAGUGUUUGCUGGUGUCGUGGGGUUUGUCGUGUGGCUUGGGCCAUGCGGUGUGCCGCGCGCGUCGGUGCUGCGGGUGCGUUGUGCGGUGAUUGGGCGAGAGCGGCGCGGAGCGGGGCGAAAGCCGGCUCCGCGGGCAGCGGCCCCCGCGCGACGUCACAGAGGAGUCGCCGGUGGACGUUCUUCGGAGCGAUCUGCGGCGAGAGAACCUGCAGGAAAUGGUCGUAAACCGCCCGUCUUGAAACACGGACCAAGGAGUCUCAGAACAGUGCGAGUGUUGUGGUGAUGCAAAGCCAAGGCGCGCAGUGAAGGCAAGAUGUUACAAGGUCCGCAGUCUUAGCAGAUGGAAGGAUCGGCCCGUUGGUGCUCCUCGGAGCAGCGAUCGGAGUUGUAGCAGUGUUCUGGGGACCCGAAAGAUGGUGAUCUAUGCUUGUGUAGAAAGAAGUCAGGGGAAACUCUGAUGGAAGUUCGCAAACGGUUCUGACGUGCAAAUCGAUCGUGAGACAUGGGUAUAGGGGCGAAAGACUCAUCGAACCAUCGAGUAGCUGGUUCCCUCCGAAAUUUCCCUUAGGAUAGCAAUAGCUGGUGGUCCAGUUUCAUCAGGUAAAGCUAAUGAUUAGAGGUAUUGGGGACGAAAGGUCCUCGGCCUAUUCUCAAACUUUAAAUGGGUGAGAGCGGUCGGUUGCUUGGGUGAACUGACCGAUGGAAUGGACGGUUAUUAGUGGGCCAUUUCUGGUAAGCAGAACUGGCGAUGCGGGAUGAUCCGAACGCUCGGGCUAAAGUGCCAGAGUGCCCGCUCAUGAAGAUCCCACAAAAGGUGUUGGUUCAUUCAGACAGCAGGACGGUGGCCAUGGAAGUCGGAAGCCGCUAAGGAGUGUGUAACAACUCACCUGCCGAAUGACCUAGCCCUGAAAAUGGAUGGCGCUGUAGCGGGCGACUUUUGCCCGGCCAUGGUCGCUCUGGGUGCGGUCAUGAGUAGGAGGGCGUGGGGGUUGUGCGGCAGGCCGUGGCGUGAGCCAGGCUGAAGCGGCCCCUAGUGCAGAUCUUGGUGGAAGUAGCAAGUAUUCAAGCGUGAACUUUGAAGACUGAAGUGGGGAAAGGUUCCAUGUGAACAGCAGUUGUACAUGGGUGAGUCGGUCCUAAGGCGUGCAGAGGGUGGUUUGUAGGCACCGCGGCGUCGAAAGGGAAGCAGGUUAAUAUGUCCUGCACAAGGGUAGGUGUGCUAAAAGGUGGCGACACGUGGAGUGUCUGGAGACGUCUGCGGGUACCCCGGGAAGAGUUGUCUUUUCUAUUUGACAGAGAGAGUGUUGUGCGGAGUCGAGUUGUUGGGCGAUGCAGAGCAUGUCUUUGGCAUAGCCUCGUCUGUAUGUGGCGAGGUCCGGUGUGUAUUCGACGGUCCGUGAAAAUCCAGGCGCUAGAAGUGAAGGUAAGGUCCUCCGUUGCCGUACUGAUAACCGCAACAGGUCUCCAAGGUGAAAAGCCUCUAGUUGAUAGAAGAAUGUAGAUAAGGGAAGUCGGCAAGAUAGAUCCGUAACUUUGGGAAAAGGAUUGGCUCUGAGGGUUGGGCGUCUGGUGCAGAGGCGGGCACGGGCGCGCAGGCGCUGGCGCGGCGCGUCCCCUUUGGGGGAGGUGCGGCGCGGGUGCGGGCGCGCGGCGUGGUCGGGUCCCGUCGGUUGCGGCGGACUGGGCGCGAGGAACGACCGACUCAGAACUGUAGCGGACAAGGGGAAUCCGACUGUUUAAUUAAAACAAAGCAUUGCGAUGGUGGUUGGCGGCAAUGUUGACGCAAUGUGAUUUCUGCCCAGUGCUCUGAAUGUCAAAGUGAAGAAAUUCGUUUCAAGCGCGGGUAAACGGCGGGAGUAACUAUGACUCUCUUAAGGUAGCCAAAUGCCUCGUCAUCUAACUUGUGACGCGCAUGAAUGGAUGAACGAGAUUCCUACUGUCCCUAUUUACUAUCUAGCGAAUCCACAGCCAAGGGAACGGGCUUGGAAGAAUCAGCGGGGAAAGAAGACCCUGUUGAGCUUGACUCUAGUCAGACGUUGUGAAAUGACUCAUGAGGUGUAGAAUAAGUGGGAGCGCUUUGGUGUGUCGGUGAAAUACCACUACUCGUGUAGUCGUUUUACUUAGUUGGUUGGGUCUGGGCUCGGUCCUUUUGCGGGGCGGAGUGACAGAGGCAAGCGCCGUGUGGUGCGACAGGUCCAACGACAGCGUUCGGUGGGGAGUUUGGCUGGGGCGGCACAUCUGUUAAAGGAUAACACAGGUGUCCUAAGGGGAGCUCAAUGAGAACAGAAAUCUCAUGUAGAACAAAAGGGUAAAAGCUCUCUUGAUUUGUAUUUUCAGUGUGAAUGUAAACUGUGAAAGCAUGGCCUAUCGAUCCUUUAGUGUUUUGGAGUUUGAAGCUAGAGGUGUCAGAAAAGUUACCACAGGGAUAACUGGCUUGUGGCAGCCAAGCGUUCAUAGCGACGUUGCUUUUUGAUCCUUCGAUGUCGGCUCUUCCUAUCCUGCGCUUGCAGAAGGGCGCAAUGGUUGGAUUGUUCACCCACUAACAGGGAACGUGAGCUGGGUUUAGACCGUCGUGAGACAGGUUAGUUUUAUCCUACUGAUGAGCGGGUGCUGUGGCAGUAAUUGAGGUUAGUACGAGAGGAACCCCUGAUUCACGUAAUUGGUGUUGGGCUUGGCUGAGCAGGCAGUGGCCCGAAGCUAUACGUGUGGGUUUAGGGCUGAACGCCUCUAAGUCCGAAACCCUGCUGGAGGCGGCGUCAAGUUUGGGAGUGUAGUGAGAGUAGAGUGGGGUGGCGGUGCAUUCGUUGUUAGGGUGUGCUGUAGAGAGUAGUUCCUGGUGAGGUAUCUUUGGUAGACGACUGGAGUGCAGUGUGAGCUGUAAGCAUGAGAGUGGUGUGAGCUACGAUCUGCUGAGGC
rnacentral:ncRNA from 15 species